AUGUGGACAGUAUGGGAGUGAGAAUGUUGGCAUGAGUAGCGAGAUGUGGGUGAGAAUCCCACAGGCCGUAAACCCAAGGUUUCCAGGGGAAGGUUCGUCCGCCCUGGGUUAGUCGGGACCUAAGCUGAGGCCGAAAGGCGUAGGGGAUGGACAACAGGUUGAUAUUCCUGUACUACCGAUAACCGUUUGAGAGAAGGGAUGACACAGUAGGAUAAGCUAAGCACACUGUUGGUUAUGUGUGCCCAAGCAUUGAGGCAGUCAAAGUAGGCAAA
rnacentral:rRNA from 1 species